rnacentral:rRNA from 1 species
UACGAAGGGUGCAAGCGUUAUCCGGAUUCACUGGGUUUAAAGGGUGCGUAGGCGGGCAGGUAAGUCAGUGGUGAAAUCUCCGAGCUUAACUCGGAAACUGCCGUUGAUACUAUUUGUCUUGAAUAUUGUGGAGGUAAGCGGAAUAUGUCAUGUAGCGGUGAAAUGCUUAGAUAUGACAUAGAACACCAAUUGCGAAGGCAGCUUACUACACAAUGAUUGACGCUGAGGCACGAAAGCGUGGGGAUCAAACAGG